CUAGAAUUAGCGUCCGACUUUUGAACGGAUGGUAAUUACCGUCCGUUGUACAAGUUUACCGUCUAACUUGACGGACGGUAUUCAAUGGUUAUCAACAAAAAUCACGACCCACUUAUUUCCAACCCUAUCUCUAACUUCUUAUCUAUUUUUUUCUCUCUCACCAUUCUGCUUAUGUUUUAGUUGGCGGCACCUUACGAUCUCACUGAAGGCGAUCUUCUUGUUGUCUUUGCCCAAUAUGGCGAAAGUCCAAAGGUUUUGCAUUUGUGGCGUAUGAGGAUCAAAGAAGCACAACUCUAGCCCGCACUUUCUCUGAUUUGAAGGAGGUUCGAUCGAUUUCUGAGCCAAUGUCGCAGGUUUUCGUUUUAGGGUUAGUGAUUUUUUUGGGUUUUUUAUGUGGGUUGUUUCAGAUCUAGUUUUUUUUUUUUUGUUAAUUUCUCAAUUCUCCUUCAAAACCCCAUAUUUAUCCUCUCUUUUUUUCGAUUUUUGAUUUCGAAUCCUUAUUUUUUCGUAUGUUUUUUUAGUUUUCUCAUUGAAAAAGAAAACCGUCGUCAAUGUAGAGGAAUUGAACUUAUUGCGUCAGAAAAUUUCACAUCUUUUGCAGUAAUUCAAGCUUUAGGAAGUGCUUUAACCAACAAAUACUCAGAGGGUAUGCUCGGAAAUCAUUAUUUAAUGAACACAUUGAUCAAGAGCACUUGAAUGUUACAGAUUAAACCCAGAAAAAUGGGGUGUAAAUGUUCAACCUUAUUCUGGAAGUCCAGCAAAUUUUGCUGUAUAUACAGCAGUUUUAAACCCACAUGAUAGAAUUAUGGGGUUAGAUCUUCCAUUAGGUGGACAUUUAACUCAUGGGUAUAUUGAUUAUGAUAAGCUUGAGGAGAAAGCUUUGGACUUUAUGGGGUUAGAUCUUCCAUCAGGUGUUUCACAAAUCGGUGUAUACUUCUUACUAGGAAUGGCUUCAUGAUGAUGUGUUAUGUUUUAGGUGCUCAUUGAAACAAUAUUUCUGUGACUGAAGCAAUAAGAUUGCAUAAACUUGAGACUUUCUAGCCAAUAAUUAGUGUUAUUGGUUAUAGUUUAGCUUCUAUCAUGUCGCUAUUUGAUUAAGUAUAAUGAGUUAAGUUUGAAUGUUUAGCUGUUACAAAUUGUGGGUUUAAUUUUGAUUUUUGUUUUCUGCUUAACAUUCUAGAUGAAGCAUUGUGAAACAUGCCUUCAGGCAUAAGUUUAUAACUGUAUAUUUGACAUCUUGAUUACUCUCUAUUUGCAUUUUUGUUGGAGAGUUCAACACCUCAGAAAGCAUAUGGAAUUUUAUAGGUUAUUA